rnacentral:tRNA from 1 species
GGACGAUUAGCUCAGCGGGAGAGCGCUUCCCUGACACGGAAGAGGUCACUGGUUCAAU